ensembl:lncRNA
UGGGAACUUCGAUUUCGUACGUGAGCGGCGGGCGCGCGGCGGCCGUUUGGCCGGCAGAUCAAGAAGACAUUGGGCUGUUAUCCAGUUGUCGUAGUUGGAUCGCGUUCUACAAGCCUUCAAGACUUGCAGUGGCGUUAAAGCUCCCAAGGUAAACAGCAGUAGAGGACGCUGGCCAGAAGGAUCCAUACACAGGCAGUUAAUUUUUCUGUCCAAGACACUAAAAAUGGGUAUGUUCUGAUCUUUGGUUGUGUCAAGAGGGUAAAAGCUUGGGCAUUUCUGGAAGAAUGCUCCUUUCCUCUGGCUGAUUUUCACUUUUUUUCUUGACUGAAGCUUUGUUUCAGAUAACUGUCAGUGUGUCUGUAGAUGUGCCUUGGUAAAAAGGACUCUAAUUCUGAUUGCAACUCAAAUUUAAGAAACUUCAUAUUUACAUUCUGAGAUCCC